rnacentral:lncRNA from 1 species
UUCGACCAGAAUCGACUAGUUGUCGAGUGCUUAGGCUUCGGAAAGUCCGAAGGUGUUUAUAAUGCAUAAAGUGCAUUAAGGAAGGGCCCGCGAGAGCACCAAGUGCAAAACUUGCACUGGAGCAGAAAUGCUCUCGGGGACCGGUCCCUGGCAGGGAGGGACCGAUUCCAUCAGGCGGGGUUGCGGAGGUCUCUGAUGAGACCGGUCCCUGGUGGGCAGGGACCGGUUCCCGAACGUUGGCCUGGCGAGACUUAGCCAAAUUUGGCUAAGUCCCGAGAAUGCAGCUCUCGGGAACCGGUCUCUCGGACAAGGACCGGUCUCCCGGGGACCGGUCUCUCAGGCAAGGACCGGUUCCCGAACGCGAAAAUCCCUCUGCUCGAAAUGGCAGCCUUCGGGGACCGGUCCCAAGUCGGGGAGACCGGUCCCUCCGCGCGAAAACUGC